AUGAAAUGAAAUGGAGGAUUAGAUCGUGCUUAAUGACAACAAGAACAUGACAAAGGUGCAAAACCCUUCAGGAGUUGUCUCCAAAUCUACAUUAAAGUUCUCAUUUGGCUCUAAACCUUUCUAAACCAGUUCUGUUUUGCUUGGAAGGAAUUUAGCGCCUCACACCCCACCCCUGAGCCACCUGGUGAGGUUGGAGGACCUUCUGAAGAACCUCAUGAAACCAGGGCCAGAGCAAAGGGCAGUAUUUGGGAGCCAGAUCCCUGGCUACCCCACAGGAAA